rnacentral:rRNA from 1 species
AGUGAACGCUGGCGGUAGGCCUAACACAUGCAAGUCGAACGGCAGCACAGUAAGAGCUUGCUCUUACGGGUGGCGAGUGGCGGACGGGUGAGGAAUACAUCGGAAUCUACUUUUUCGUGGGGGAUAACGUAGGGAAACUUACGCUAAUACCGCAUACGACAUACGGGUGAAAGCAGGGGAUCUUCGGACCUUGCGCGAUUGAAUGAGCCGAUGUCGGAUUAGCUAGUUGGCGGGGUAAAGGCCCACCAAGGCGACGAUCCGUAGCUGGUCUGAGAGGAUGAUCAGCCACACUGGAACUGAGACACGGUCCAGGCUCCUACGGGAGGCAGCAGUGGGGAAUAUUGGACAAUGGGCGCAAGCCUGAUCCAGCCAUACCGCGCGGGUGAAGAAGGCCUUCGGGUUGUAAAGCCCUUUUGUUGGGAAAGAAAAGCAGCAGGUUAAUACCCCGCUGUUCUGACGGUACCCAAAGAAUAAGCACCGGCUAACUUCGUG